GGUUUCCCACGGUGAUUUAUUCCCGACCUUUUCCCCCCACUGAACGUGAUUAGAAUGGCAUCGCAGGAAGCUUUGGAGGAGCUUUCAAGCUGCAGGAGGAACUGAUGUGAUCUGUGAUGUCAAAAACUCAAGCGUGAUGGCCCCCUACCAGAUGUGUAUGAGGCUGAGGACAGCAAACACAAGUCCGAGGAUGAAGGCGAGCGGCACGGCCAGCAGCGCCCCGAGAAGCCGGUAAAGGCCAAACUUGACCACCUCGAACAUGGCAUGGCUGCAAAUCCACACCCGGUCCAUGGUCCGAACCGACUCCGGCUCAGCAAUGACGUCAUCGAAGCACACCUGACCGGAAAAAACAAAUAGGGAGGACAAGUCAGAGUUAUACUUUGACUUAAGCGUAACGGUGACUUGAAGAUUUGCAUGUGCAUAUUCUCAUCCUUUUUUUUAAUUUGUCAAAUAUUCUAUUUCAAAAUUCUAAAUAUUUUCAUAAAUAUACAUAUGUACAAUGUAUAUGUACGUACAGUAUAUUCAGUAUGUAGUCAGUGCAUUAUAAAGUUUGAGGGGGGGGAAAAAAUCAUCACCCCUCGGCGAUGACGUCAUGGAAGCUCACCUGACCCGUCCCGACAACGAACCCACAGCUAAGUGAUCAAGAACGCAAUUCUCCUUUUCUUUCCACGUAGUGACUUGAAAACAAUGAAUUCAUGUUUAUUUAGUUGUUGUUUUUUUUACCUUGAGGUGCGCGUUUACGUCGUCGGGGUCUCGAUCUUCGUGCGGGGACGCGAACACGUGACCCUUCCGUGACAGAAUGGGCUCGAUGGACCUGUUAAACUCGUCCUCGUCCAUGAUGAUGCUCGUGUACGACUUCUCCUUCUCCACACCCAUGUCCCAGUUGGUGUUGGACUUUCAGUGGAGAUUCGAGUGCGCAGUGAGCGAGCCGCUCCGCUCCUAUGCAG